rnacentral:rRNA from 1 species
GACGAACCGUCCGAACGUUAUUCGGAAUCACUGGGCUUAAAGGGCGCGUAGGCGGGACCGUAAGUCAGGGGUGAAAUCCCACGGCUCAACCGUGGAAGUGCCUUUGAUACUGCGGACCUCGAGGUGGGCAGGGGCGUGCGGAACUUCCGGGUGGAGCGGUGAAAUGCGUAGAUAUCGGAAGGAACACCGGUGGCGAAAGCGGUCCGACUAGGUCUCUACUGACGCGUGAGCGCGGAAAGCC